GACGCGGUGGCCUAAUGGUAAUUAGCGCGCUCGGCUCGGGACCGAGCGGCCCGGGUUCGAGCCCCGGGCGGGGUGACUGUGUUG
rnacentral:tRNA from 1 species